CGGGGCGUAGCGCAGCCCGGUAGCGCGCCUGCUUUGGGAGCAGGAUGUCGCAGGUUCGAAUCCUGCCGCCCCGACCA
rnacentral:tRNA from 1 species